GGGCAGUCACCUGCGGCGCCCCCUUCCCGGCGCUAGAGCGGCCCGCGGAGAGACGCGGAGAAGCAACGGGAAUCUAGCCCGGCAGACUGUACCCGAGGGCUGCCGAAGUCAGACCCAAGCACUACAGGUUGUGCGGAACGCGAGGACCCCUCCCUGUAUCCCCAACCUGGACCGACCCCCGGAAGCCUGCUCCUCCGGGUCUACAGGAGCAGCUCACGCUGGAGCCCCCAAAGAAGCCCCCAUACCUCAGGUGUCUACACUGAAAGUGGACACUCUUCUACCCACCUCCACACUUUAGAAGACAGAAUGCCGCCCAAGGCCGGACCCAGAACCCGCAGCAAAGAGGAUCUGCAACCUUGUCCUCCUCACUGCUGGCCAAGAGUCCACGCCGCGGAGGUCGCAGCUGACUAGGUGAGGGCGGGAGACUGCCUGCUCGUCUCCUCCUGGCCCCGGCUAUCCAGGGCGUCGAGGUGAGGUCCGCAGCCACUCGGGCGGUGCACAACAUGUUCCAGGAGUCCCGCGGCCGAGCGGCGCACAGAGGAGCAAGGAGAGGACCGGAAGAACCGUGCUCUUGGCUGCAAUUUGUUUCCAAGAGUGCCAAGACAUGCCCGAGACUCUCAGCGCGCUCUCAGAGCAUCAACUCAAGCACCGAAAAAAUCUACCUUUGCCUUCCCGGGGAUUCAUUCUGGGGUAUGCCUGUGUGUGUUUCUUUUUAAGACCACUAUAGUGGGAACAAACCAGGAGGUGCCGAGUUGCAAUAAAAUUAGAACCCAUAAUUAACACAGCUAGCUGGGCCCAAGUGGCUCGGAAGUGCACGUAGUGGAGUCAGUUGGCCUUCCUCCGCGGAGUCCGGGCUACAGUUGCGUUUUCUUUCUUUGGAAUGCAUCUUGGAGUCAGGAUCAACUCCUUUCAUUCCCUGCAAACAGCGAAUAAAUAAAUCAUUUCAUUUAUAAAAAACGAUAACGAUAAAGAGAUUUCAGCGCACCCUGCGAGAGGUGGUAGUCAGGAGAAGAGAAAGCCCAAAGGUUGUUAGGUGCAGGGGUCACUUUUACUGCCUUGGGAAAAUGCAUUUUAGCCGCGGAAUUCGUUCCGUGGGGAUUGGGGGUGCGCCUCCGAGGCGGGCCCGAGGGCCAGAACUGCGAAAUCCCAAGUUAGUGUUUUCAGGUUUCGGACAAAAACUGCGAUCCAUACGAGGACCUUACUGUUCGCAUCUUGGCGGGGAUCACGAAAGCUCUACAGGCCAGCAGGAACCUUGCGGCUAGCGGGGGCAUUCCUGCAACCUCCUGCGCAGGGAUCCUACGCCUCAGGUCUUCUUACUGGCUGGGGUUGGCCCUCCCGGGAACUGGGCAGGCUCUAAUAGGCCCCUCUACCUGCAGGCUGUUUGCUCCAAGAGGCGGAUUUGUGGGGUCCAGGGCGAACCCUUUCCUCUUCCCUUUGCCAGUCAGUGCUCCUCCUGCCUAAAAAUUUUACCCUCACCAGGACCAACGAAAGAGCUGACCUCUUACCUCCUCCACAGCGGCUGUGGCUUUCUAGACAAGCUGCGUGUCUGAGCCACUGGGAGAACAGAGUAUAACCACCUCUCCAUGGACACGAUUGGAAGGCAGUUCUAGGAAAAUUGUUAAAGGACCCAACAAUGUUUUCAAUGGACACACAGAGGCUAAGGAAGAGAAAUGUAAAAAUGAAAUAAAUAUAAUUUCAAAAGUGUUUAACUCUUUAAUAAGCCAGGAGGGGUAAAACACAGUACCAUCUUUGCAGAGUAAACCAAUUUUGCCAGCAGGUACAAACUGUUGUGUUUUUUUCUAACGAGAGAGGGGGGGAAAAGGCUGCUUGCAUAUGAUUCACAUUUUUCAUCAAUAAAAUGUUUUUAAAUUAA